CUCAUACGGCUAACUCGGUCCCGCUUUUUUCACAGUAAAGUAAUUCGAGUUUUAAAAUCCCUCCCGGUUUUACAACGGAACCCUCAUUUCGAAUGGCCAUGGUUUUGAGCCCAAAAUUUGGUGCACAAGUUAUCAGGCGGGGAUGUAACUCCUGAUUGGUAAUGUGGCGGAUUGAUAACUAGAUUUUUCGACUGAGAGUUUCCAAAAUCCAUCUGCAGAUUAACGUAAAUCCAUCCUAAUAAACAUUUUAUACAGAUUUUGGUUAAAGAAUUACUUCUCAAAUCUUUUAACGAACUAAAAACCCCUAUAUAAAGGGAUAAUUACAGAUUGUUCUAACCCUCCCAACGGAGAAAAAUGAAAGCCUCAGAAUUCGAAGAGUUUCGAACAUUCCUCCUCCAAAAUGAAGCCAAUUCCGGACUCCUUUCCCUUGCACAAGCCGAAUUCCCCUCCAUCCCCUUUGACACCCUCAUCGCAAUUUCCUCGCAGGAAAAAUCCCGCCAGCUCCGAUCUGACAUUCCCAGGUUUACCAGAUCCCAUCUUAUCCGUCAAUACAUUUCGAGGUACAUUGCAGGGGAUGAGAUUUUGAACCUAAGUAACGACUCCGGGUUACCUCCCUGUCUUCUCUGCAGGUUUCUGUUGGAGAAUUUAUUUGGGUUGAACAAGCAGCAGAUCACACAGUGCCUUAAAGAUCCUGUGAUUUUGAACAGGUUUCAGAUAAAUUCAAAUGCAGAGGAGAAUGGCGUGGUUUCAACUGCCAGAGUUAUUGAGGAUGUGCAGAAAUGUGUGGAGUGUGAUCAGGUUGUUUCACCUUGUGUAGAGAUGGUCGGCCUCAUGGGUAGGUGGAAGGUGAGCGCUCUAUAUAUUGGAGGUGUUGUUUCACAAUUCAAAUCAUUCAAUCAUCCUUUCAAGUGUGAAAUUGGAGAGCAAUUUGAGGAGCGAAAUCCAGAGGAGUGGAGCGAAUUUCUACUAAGUGUGGAGAAGCUAUUGGAGGGCGAAAUUCAUCUUGAAGGCUAUUGGAGAGGCGUAUUUCUUGCUAGUUUGGAGGAUAAUUUCCAGAUUUUUUGAAGACAUUUGAAGGCAAAUUUCCAGAUUUUUGAAGAGGAAGGUGGAGUUCUUUUCCAAGCUAAAGGAGGUGCAUUUUAUCCAAGGUAUGAAGAUGGCGAUUCCAAGCUCGAAAGAUCUACAAGUCGGAAGACUCUCCUCAAGGAAAAUCAAGCCAGAUCAAGGACGAUCAAGCAAGGACAAAGACGACCUUCUUCGAUCCAGUCUAGCAUCGACAAGGACGGCCUUCUUUGGACUAACGUCAUCAAGGGCGACUUCUCCAAUCCAGUAUUCCAAGGCGAGGUAUGAGCAUUUGCUAAGGAGAAGGCUACAGAAAUUGGAGAUUCCAUUCCAAUCAGAAGAAGCUUUACGUGCAGCAGGAUUUAGCAAAACUCCAGAUAUCAAAUUGGAGGUUCCUAUUGGUGUGUGUGGUCGCAUAGUUAAUUGGAUCGACAGCAAGGCUUCCUUUGGAGAUGAGUACAGUCACAAGACCCAGGGAGUUCAACAAUUCCAGAUGUAAUAUUCUUGCCUUCUAUCAGUUUUUUCUUGAAUAAGAAUUUGAAUUUUGUAUUAUAUUAGAACAAGCUUUUGAUACAUCACUCUUGUAUCCACAUAGUACCAGACGGAUAUUAUGACAUUGUUUAUCUACUCAUCUUUACACAUGAUCAAUUUUUUUAUCUAUAUUGGGGAAAUUGGGCAGUUUUUAAUAGAAUAGGUUUUGGUCUA